rnacentral:lncRNA from 1 species
GCAGUGUCUCCAUUGAGAACGCAGCCGGGGACAUUCACACCACGGGCUACACCUCAGGUGGGCCAACAGUCCUCCUGAAAAUGAGCUGCAUCCUGAUUAUGGCUGGUAGUUGGGCACUCUCUCAGGAAACUUUUCCUCCAAUUUUUAAAAGAAAGAUACUGUUUUUAAACAUGAUUGGAUGUUCAUUUUGGCAAAUUGUACUUUACAGCACAAUGCACCCUCUCAACCAGUCUGUUCUCAAGAACCCAAGAAUAUGGGCAUGGUGAUGAAGUUAUUAUCUGAAGAUGUGGAAGGGGCCAAGCAAGAGGGUUUCAAGUGAUGGAUACUAUACUUCCUCGCAGUGGCUGCUUACAAGGUGUGAAGAAACUAUGUCCAAUGUGUCUG